CAACUCCUCAUGGUCUGAGAAGCACAAAUAUGUCAAUUUUAGAUGCUGCAGUUUUAGGCAAAUGUCUUCAGAAGUGGGGACUGGAAAAUUUACCUUCCGCUCUUGAAGAAUAUCAGAGCGUUCGAGUACCAGUCAUCUCACAGCAAGUCCUACACUCUCGACGAUUGGGUCGAAUCAAACAAGGGUUAUAUCUUCCUGAUCGUGGGCCUUUUGAUCCAAGCACUGCAAGUCCAGAGGAUGGCGAAGAGCUUCAACAGAAAAAUAUGCCUUUCUUUUCUGGUGCUCCAAUCUCGGCUGAUUGAUUAUGUGCUCCAUUUGAUCAAGAAAAUAGAGCGUGCUCACUCCAACCAGGAAAAUAAUUCCUCAGUCCUUCUAGCUUUGUAAAUCCAAAGCCAUAACCGUA
rnacentral:misc_RNA from 1 species